rnacentral:sRNA from 1 species
AGGGAGCAGCCUUGAGUGGUGAGCCUACUACUCUGACCAAGGAAGAAGAAAAGAAACAGCCUGAUGAAGAACCCAUGGACAUGGUAGUGGAAAAACAAGAAGAAACGGACCACAAGAAUGACAAUCAAAUACUGAGUGAAAUUGUUGAAGCGAAAAUGGCAGAGGAAUUGAAACCAAUGGACACUGAUAAAGAGACCAUAGCUGAAUCAAAAUCCCCAGAGAUGUCCAUGCAAGAAGAUUGUAUUAGUGACAUUGCCCCCAUGCAAACUGAUGAACAGACAAACAAGGAGCAGUUUGUGCCAGGUCCAAAUGAAAAGCCUUUGUACACUGCGGAACCAGUGACCCUGGAGGAUUUGCAGUUACUUGCUGAUCUAUUCUACCUUCCUUAUGAGCAUGGACCCAAAGGAGCACAGAUGUUACGGGAAUUUCAAUGGCUUCGAGCAAAUAGUAGUGUUGUCAGUGUCAAUUGCAAAGGAAAAGACUCUGAAAAAAUUGAAGAAUGGCGGUCACGAGCAGCCAAGUUUGAAGAGAUGUGUGGACUAGUGAUGGGAAUGUUCACUCGGCUCUCCAAUUGUGCCAACAGGACAAUUCUUUAUGACAUGUACUCCUAUGUUUGGGAUAUCAAGAGUAUAAUGUCUAUGGUGAAGUCUUUUGUACAGUGGUUAGCGUUUGCUGCCAAUUGAUGGGGCAAAUGAUCUCUUUUUUCAGCCACCUCCACUGACUCCUACCUCCAAAGUUUAUACUAUCAGACCUUAUUUUCCUAAGGAUGAGGCAUCCGUGUACAAGAUUUGCAGAGAAAUGUAUGACGAUGGAGUGGGUUUACCCUUUCAAAGUCAGCCUGAUCUUAUUGGAGACAAGUUAGUAGGAGGGCUGCUUUCCCUCAGCCUGGAUUACUGCUUUGUCCUAGAAGAUGAAGAUGGCAUAUGUGGUUAUGCCUUGGGCACUGUAGAUGUGACCCCCUUUAUUAAAAAAUGUAAAAUUUCCUGGAUCCCCUUCAUGCAGGAGAAGUAUACCAAGCCAAAUGGUGACAAGGAACUCUCUGAGGCUGAGAAAAUAAUGUUGAGUUUCCAUGAAGAACAGGAAGUACUGCCAGAAACUUUCCUUGCUAAUUUCCCUUCUCUGAUAAAGAUGGACAUUCACAAAAAAGUAACUGACCCAAGUGUGGCCAAAAGCAUGAUGGCUUGCCUCCUGUCUUCACUGAAGGCUAAUGGCUCCCGGGGAGCUUUCUGUGAAGUGAGACCAGAUGAUAAAAGAAUUCUGGAAUUUUACAGCAAGUUAGGAUGUUUUGAAAUUGCAAAAAUGGAAGGAUUUCCGAAGGAUGUGGUUAUACUUGGUCGGAGCCUGUGACAUUUGUUGACACUGUGAACUGUCCAAAAGUCUCUUAACUGCACCUUGUGAGUGGUAGUUGAGGUCUUCAUACAGUUCAGCCUCUAGAAUGGUAACAAAUCAGCCAAUUGGAUUCGAAACAAAGACGACUAUGUAAAACUCACCCAUCACACUUUCAGACUACUCACUGAUUGGAAGAAUAUAGUAUUGCAGCAAAUCCUGUAUGAAAGAGAGAUGUGGGUUUCCUUUUUGAGUCUUGUGUUAGGUGCUGAGACCUUUUACAUGGGCUUAUACAGGGAGAGAGUCUUCAAUAAAUGUAGUCAGCACUAUUUUCUGCA